UGGAGAGGUGGCUGAGUGGUCGAAAGCGGCAGAUUGCUAAUCUGUUAAGGGAUUAUAUCCCUUCGGGGGUUCGAAUCCCCCCCUCUCCAU
rnacentral:tRNA from 2 species